rnacentral:tRNA from 1 species
AAUAAAGUCAGCUAAAUAUUAAGCUAUUGGGUUCAUACCCCAAAAAUGAAUAAUUAUUCUUUUAUUA